rnacentral:rRNA from 1 species
UGCUUUGGAAUCUUCCCAGUAGUGGGGAAUAACCAGUCGAAAGAUUGGCUAAUACCGCAUACGUCUGUAAAGGGAAAGCGGGGGCUCGUAAGACCUCGCGCUAUUGGAUGAGCCAAAGUCGGAUUAGCUAGUUGGUGGGGUAAUGGCCUACCAAGGCGACAAUCCGUAGCUGGUCUGAGAGGACGACCAGCCACACCGGAACUGAGACAGGGUCCGGACUCCUACGGGAGGCAGCAGUGGGGAAUAUUGGACAAUGGGGGAAACCCUGAUCCAGCGACGCCGCGUGUGUGAAGAAGGCCUGCGGGUUGUAAAGCACUUUUAGUUGGGGACAAAAAGCUACGGACUAAUAUUCUGUGGUCUUGAUUUAACCCAAAGAAAAAGCACCGGUAACUCUGUGCCAGCAGCCGCGGUAAUACAGAGGUCCCGAGCGUUGUCGGAUUCAUUGGGCGUAAAGGGUGCGUAGGUGGCGCCGUAAGUGGGGUGUGAAAUUUCGGAGCUUACUCCGAAAAUUGCAUUCCAUACUGCGGUGCUUGAGGACUGGAGAGGAGACUUGGAAUUUACGGGUGUAGCAGUGACAUU